CAGUAGCCGCGGGAAUACGUAGGUGGCAAGCGUUGUCCGGAAUUAUUGGGCGUAAAGGGCUCGCAGGCGGUUUCUUAAGUCUGAUGUGAAAGCCCCCGGCUCAACCAGGGAGGGUCAUUGGAAACUGGGAAACUUGAGUGCAGGAGAGGAGAGUGGAAUUCCACGUGUAGCGGUGAAAUGCGUAGAGAUGUGGAGGAACACCAGUGGCGAAGGCGACUCUCUGGUCUGUAACUGACGCUGAGGAGCGAAAGCGUGGGGAGCGAACAGGAUUAGAUACCCCAGUAGUCCCUGUCUCUUAUAC
rnacentral:rRNA from 1 species